CGAAGGAAGAAAUUCAUUCGCGUUUCGUAGUUAGCGGAGAAAGGAAUUGUAGUGACGAAAAUUGUUUACGCAAUUUUUGCACCGUCUUUUCUACGAACUGAUUACGAACGUGUGCACUUUUCUUCUGGUAGGACGUUGCGAUCCGUUGGGUGUCGGUUUAAGGUACAUGGUGGAGUCCGUUUUACCUAUGUUGUUAAAUGGACCCAUGUUAUCCCGACCGGCUCACUCGACGGUAUACGAAAGGUUUAAGGCCGCUUAUUUUAAAAGCGUUCGACUCGUAGCAAGCGCAUUAGUAUAAUUCAUAUUGUCGAAGUUCGGACCUAGUGCCGAACCCGACAGCUAAUGAUUGCUUUGUUAUGAAGAUUCUCGAACCGACCUUGUUAACCGAUCGGCAACGAUAUAGAUUUGGGUACUUUCAGGACCCGUCUUGAAACACGGACCAAGGAGUCCAGCAUAUACGCAAGUCAUUGGGACUUAAAACGAAACCUAAAGGCAUAAUGAAAGUAAAAAUUCUCCUUGUGAGAAUUAAGGGAAGACAAGUGGUUAGCCGUUAAAAGCGGCCACUUUGCAUUCCUGGGGCGUCUCAUUUUCAGUAUAUUUCUCAUUUGGGUUAUAUGCGAAAAGAGGCGCACCAAGAGCGUAUACGCUGGGACCCGAAAGAUGGUGAACUAU
rnacentral:rRNA from 2 species